UACGUAGGGUGCGAGCGUUAAUCGGAAUUACUGGGCGUAAAGCGUGCGCAGGCGGCUUUGUAAGUCUGGCGUGAAAUCCCCGGGCUCAACCUGGGAAUUGCGAUGGAGACUGCAAGGCUAGAAUCUGGCAGAGGGGGGUAGAAUUCCACGUGUAGCAGUGAAAUGCGUAGAUAUGCGGAGGAACACCGAUGGCGAAGGCAAUCCCCUGGGCCUGCACUGACGCUCAUGCACGAAAGCGUGGGGAGCAAACAGG
rnacentral:rRNA from 1 species